UCGAACGGCAGCACGGACUUCGGUCUGGUGGCGAGUGGCGAACGGGUGAGUAAUAUAUCGGAACGUGCCCUGGAGUGGGGGAUAACGUAGCGAAAGUUACGCUAAUACCGCAUACGAUCUAAGGAUGAAAGUGGGGGAUCGCAAGACCUCAUGCUCGUGGAGCGGCCGAUAUCUGAUUAGCUAGUUGGUAGGGUAAAAGCCUACCAAGGCAUCGAUCAGUAGCUGGUCUGAGAGGACGACCAGCCACACUGGAACUGAGACACGGUCCAGACUCCUACGGGAGGCAGCAGUGGGGAAUUUUGGACAAUGGGCGAAAGCCUGAUCCAGCAAUGCCGCGUGAGUGAAGAAGGCCUUCGGGUUGUAAAGCUCUUUUGUCAGGGAAGAAACGGUGAGAGCUAAUAUCUCUUGCUAAUGACGGUACCUGAAGAAUAAGCACCGGCUAACUACGUGCCAGCAGCCGCGGUAAU
rnacentral:rRNA from 1 species